GGUGAGGUAGUGGCUCACCAAGGCGACGACGGGUAGCCGGCCUGAGAGGGCGACCGGCCACACUGGGACUGAGACACGGCCCAGACUCCUACGGGAGGCAGCAGUGGGGAAUAUUGCGCAAUGGGCGAAAGCCUGACGCNGCGACGCCGCGUGGGGGAUGACGGCCUUCGGGUUGUAAACCUCUUUCAGCAGGGACGAAGUUGACGUGUACCUGCAGAAGAAGCGCCGGCUAACUACGUGCCAGCAGCCGCGGUAAUACGUAGGGCGCAAGCGUUGUCCGGAAUUAUUGGGCGUAAAGAGCUCGUAGGUGGCUUGUCGCGUCGGAUGUGAAAGCUUGGGGCUUAACUCCAGGUCUGCAUUCGAUACGGGCUGGCUAGAGGUAGGUAGGGGCAAGCGGAAUUCCUGGUGUAGCGGUGAAAUGCGCAGAUAUCAGGAGGAACACCGGUGGCGAAGGCGGCUUGCUGG
rnacentral:rRNA from 1 species